rnacentral:rRNA from 1 species
CCCUUAGAUGUUCUGGGCUGCACGCGCGCUACACUGACAUACGCAACGAGUCUCCUGCACCGAAGGGCGUGGGUAAUCAUUUGAGUGUAUGUCGUGAUGGGGAUAGAAUAUUGUAAUUAUUACUCUUAAACGAGGAAUUCCUAGUAAGCGCAAGUCAGCAGCUUGCGCUGAUUACGUCCCUGCCCUUUGUACACACCGCCCGUCGCUCCUACCGAUGGGGUGAUCCGGUGAAUGAUUCGGACUUUUGCGCCUCUAGCUACUAGUUGCGUGGGAGGAAGUUUUGUGAACCUUAUCACUUGGAGGAAGGAGAAGUCGUAACA